rnacentral:rRNA from 1 species
AGACGGAGGGGGCUAGCGUUGUUCGGAAUUACUGGGCGUAAAGCGCGCGUAGGCGGAUUGAUCAGUCAGAGGUGAAAUCCCAGGGCUCAACCCUGGAACUGCCUUUGAUACUGUCAGUCUUGAGUUCGAGAGAGGUGAGUGGAAUUCCGAGUGUAGAGGUGAAAUUCGUAGAUAUUCGGAGGAACACCAGAGGCGAAGGCGACUUACUGGACCAAUACUGACGCUGAGGUGCGAAAGCGUGGGGAGCAAACAGGAUUAGAAACCCGGGUAGUCC